rnacentral:rRNA from 1 species
UACGGAGGAUGCGAGCGUUAUCCGGAUUUAUUGGGUUUAAAGGGUGCGUAGGCGGGAUGCCAAGUCAGCGGUAAAAAUGCGGUGCUCAACGCCGUCGAGCCGUUGAGACUGGCGUUCUUGAGUGGGCGAGAAGUAUGCGGAAUGCGUGGUGUAGCGGUGAAAUGCAUAGAUAUCACGCAGAACUCCGAUUGCGAAGGCAGCAUACCGGCGCCCUACUGACGCUGAGGCACGAAAGCGUGGGUAUCGAACAGG